rnacentral:rRNA from 1 species
UUUUAUGGAGAGUUUGAUCCUGGCUCAGGAUGAACGCUGGCGGCGUGCCUAAUACAUGCAAGUCGAGCGAACGGACGAGAAGCUUGCUUCUCUGAUGUUAGCGGCGGACGGGUGAGUAACACGUGGAUAACCUACCUAUAAGACUGGGAUAACUUCGGGAAACCGGAGCUAAUACCGGAUAAUAUUUUGAACCGCAUGGUUCAAAAGUGAAAGACGGUCUUGCUGUCACUUAUAGAUGGAUCCGCGCUGCAUUAGCUAGUUGGUAAGGUAACGGCUUACCAAGGCAACGAUGCAUAGCCGACCUGAGAGGGUGAUCGGCCACACUGGAACUGAGACACGGUCCAGACUCCUACGGGAGGCAGCAGUAGGGAAUCUUCCGCAAUGGGCGAAAGCCUGACGGAGCAACGCCGCGUGAGUGAUGAAGGUCUUCGGAUCGUAAAACUCUGUUAUUAGGGAAGAACAUAUGUGUAAGUAACUGUGCACAUCUUGACGGUACCUAAUCAGAAAGCCACGGCUAACUACGUGCCAGCAGCCGCGGUAAUACGUAGGUGGCAAGCGUUAUCCGGAAUUAUUGGGCGUAAAGCGCGCGUAGGCGGUUUUUUAAGKCUGAUGUGAAAGCCCACGGCUCAACCGUGGAGGGUCAUUGGAAACUGGAAAACUUGAGUGCAGAAGAGGAAAGUGGAAUUCCAUGUGUAGCGGUGAAAUGCGCAGAGAUAUGGAGGAACACCAGUGGCGAAGGCGACUUUCUGGUCUGUAACUGACGCUGAUGUGCGAAAGCGUGGGGAUCAAACAGGAUUAGAUACCCUGGUAGUCCACGCCGUAAACGAUGAGUGCUAAGUGUUAGGGGGUUUCCGCCCCUUAGUGCUGCAGCUAACGCAUUAAGCACUCCGCCUGGGGAGUACGACCGCAAGGUUGAAACUCAAAGGAAUUGACGGGGACCCGCACAAGCGGUGGAGCAUGUGGUUUAAUUCGAAGCAACGCGAAGAACCUUACCAAAUCUUGACAUCCUUUGACAACUCUAGAGAUAGAGCCUUCCCCUUCGGGGGACAAAGUGACAGGUGGUGCAUGGUUGUCGUCAGCUCGUGUCGUGAGAUGUUGGGUUAAGUCCCGCAACGAGCGCAACCCUUAAGCUUAGUUGCCAUCAUUAAGUUGGGCACUCUAAGUUGACUGCCGGUGACAAACCGGAGGAAGGUGGGGAUGACGUCAAAUCAUCAUGCCCCUUAUGAUUUGGGCUACACACGUGCUACAAUGGACAAUACAAAGGGCAGCGAAACCGCGAGGUCAAGCAAAUCCCAUAAAGUUGUUCUCAGUUCGGAUUGUAGUCUGCAACUCGACUACAUGAAGCUGGAAUCGCUAGUAAUCGUAGAUCAGCAUGCUACGGUGAAUACGUUCCCGGGUCUUGUACACACCGCCCGUCACACCACGAGAGUUUGUAACACCCGAAGCCGGUGGAGUAACCUUUUAGGAGCUAGCCGUCGAAGGUGGGACAAAUGAUUGGGGUGAAGUCGUAACAAGGUAGCCGUAUCGGAAGGUGCGGCUGGAUCACCUCCUUUCUAA